AGUGAACGCUGGCGGCAGGCCUAAUACAUGCAAGUCGAACGGCAGCACAGCAGAGCUUGCUCUGUGGGUGGCGAGUGGGCGGACGGGUGAGGAAUACAUGGGAAUCUGCCCAGUCGUGGGGGAUAACGUAGGGAAACUUACGCUAAUACCGCAUGCGCCCUUCGGGGGAAAGCCGGGGACCUUCGGGCCUGGCGCGAUUGGAUGAGCCCAUGUCGGAUUAGCUAGUUGGCGGGUAAUGGCCCACCAAGGCGACGAUCCGUAGCUGGUCUGAGAGGAUGAUCAGCCACACUGGAACUGAGACACGGUCCAGACUCCUACGGGAGGCAGCAGUAGGGAAUAUUGGACAAUGGGCGCAAGCCUGAUCCAGCCAUGCCGCGUGAGUGAAGAA
rnacentral:rRNA from 1 species